rnacentral:rRNA from 1 species
UACGAAGGGGACUAGCGUUGUUCGGAUUUACUGGGCGUAAAGCGCGCGUAGGCGGAUCGCUAAGUCAGGGGUGAAAUCCCAGGGCUCAACCCUGGAACUGCCUUCGAUACUGGAAAGCUCGAGUCCGGGAGAGGUGAGUGGAACUGCGAGUGUAGAGGUGAAAUUCGUAGAUAUUCGCAAGAACACCAGUGGCGAAGGCGGCUCGCUGGCCCGGUACUGACGCUGAGGUGCGAAAGCGUGGGGAGCAAACAGG